GGCAGAGAGCAGCCCAAACGCCAUGUGACCCACAACUCACAGCCCAUGUGCCAACCUAAGGGAACCUAGUCACCGGUGACAAGAGGUCGCAAGUAUCGUCCUAGAAGAAGAACCGUACCCACUGUCCAGCUUGAGGGGAAGAAGUGACCGCCUUCACUCAGGCAAACCAAGUUGCUCCUGGUAAAUCUGACCUUGGGCAACACUGGCUGGGCUCAGGACAUCAGCUCUGGCCACAGUGGUCAAAUCUGGCCAAAUCACCGGAAUGUGACGACUCUGUAAGAAGUGGUCAACGAUGUUUUCACAGACCAAGUCCAAUGUCAUUUUUAUCUUACUAGCUUUGUAAAGCCCCUUUGUUUGUUACCACCUUUGGGGAGCCCUCCUGUCUGCUAAGCUAUUGCUGAAAUAAUAAAACAACAACAACAACAAAACAAUAGUAAACUACCAUUUAUCGAGGCCAGUACUAGGUAAAAUUUUUAUAGCUCAGGAAACUGAGGCUCACAAAAGCAUUUCUAAGAUAA